GACGAACGCUGGCGGCGUGCCUAAUACAUGCAAGUAGGACGCAGUUGGGAAAGGGUGAGUAACGCGUAGGUCACUGCCUAUUAGAGGGGGAUAACUAUUGUAAACGAUAGCUAAUACCGCCUACUAGUAGAUGGAGCUGCGUUGUAUUAGUCAGUAGGUAGGGUAAUGGCCUACCUAGGAGACGAUACAUAGACGACUUUGGAGGGGGAUCGGCCAAACUGGGACCUGGACCCGGCCCAGACUCCUACGGGAGGCAGCAGUAGGGAAUCUUCGUCAAGUGGGGGAACCCUGACCGAGCAACUCCGCGUGAGUGAAGAAGGUUUUCGGAUCGUAAAGCUCUGUUGUUAAGGAAGCGGUACUUAACCAGAAAGGGACGGCUAACUACGUGCCAGCAGCCGCGGUAAUAC
rnacentral:rRNA from 1 species